UACAGAGGGUGCGAGCGUUAAUCGGAAUUACUGGGCGUAAAGCGCGCGUAGGCGGCUUUUCAAGUCGAUUGUGAAAUCCCCGGGCUUAACCUGGGAACUGCAGUCGAGACUGUCUAGCUAGAGUGUGGUAGGGGAGAUCGGAAUUCCUGGUGUAGCGGUGAAAUGCGCAGAUAUCAGGAGGAACACCGGUGGCGAAGGCGGAUCUCUGGGCCAUUACUGACGCUGAGGAGCGAAAGCGUGGGGAGCGAACAGG
rnacentral:rRNA from 1 species